rnacentral:rRNA from 1 species
AACGAACGCUGGCGGCAUGCCUAACACAUGCAAGUCGAACGAGACCUUCGUGACAGGUGGCUCCCGGGUGCGUAACGCGUGGGAUCCUGGCCUUAGGUUCGGAAUCACUCCCCUAACGGGGUGCUAACACCGGGAAAUGUCCUCGGACCAAAGAUUUAUCGCCUUUGGAGGUGCCCGCGUUGGUUUAGCUAGUUGGUAGGGUAAAAGCCUACCAAGGCGACGAUCCAUAGCUGGUCUGAGAGGAUGAUCAGCCACACUGGGACUGAGACACGGCCCAGACUCCUACGGGAAGCAGCAGUGGGGAAUAUUGGACAAUGGGGGAAAGCCUGAUCCAGCAGUGCCGCGUGAGUGAUGAAGGCCUUAGGGUUGUAAAGCUCUUUUACACGGGAUGAUAAUGACAGUACCGGAAGAAUAAGCUCCGGCUAACUCCGUG